GACGAACGCUGGCGGCGUGCUUAACACAUGCAAGUCGAACGGAAAGGCCCUGCUUUUGUGGGGUGCUCGAGUGGCGAACGGGUGAGUAGCACGUGAGUAACCUGCCCUUGACUUUGGGAUAACUUCAGGAAACUGGGGCUAAUACCGGAUAGGAGCUCCUGCUGCAUGGUGGGGGUUGGAAAGUUUCGGCGGUUGGGGAUGGACUCGCGGCUUAUCAGCUUGUUGGUGGGGUAGUGGCUUACCAAGGCUUUGACGGGUAGCCGGCCUGAGAGGGUGACCGGCCACAUUGGGACUGAGAUACGGCCCAGACUCCUACGGGAGGCAGCAGUGGGGAAUAUUGCACAAUGGGCGGAAGCCUGAUGCAGCAACGCCGCGUGCGGGAUGACGGCCUUCGGGUUGUAAACCGCUUUCGCCUGUGACGAAGCGUGAGUGACGGUAAUGGGUAAAGAAGCACCGGCUAACUACGUGCCAGCAGCCGCGGUGAUACGUAGGGUGCGAGCGUUGUCCGGAUUUAUUGGGCGUAAAGGGCUCGUAGGUGGUUGAUCGCGUCGGAAGUGUAAUCUUGGGGCUUAACCCUGAGCGUGCUUUCGAUACGGGUUGACUUGAGGAAGGUAGGGGAGAAUGGAAUUCCUGGUGGAGCGGUGGAAUGCGCAGAUAUCAGGAGGAACACCAGUGGCGAAGGCGGUUCUCUGGGCCUUUCCUGACGCUGAGGAGCGAAAGCGUGGGGAGCGAACAGGCUUAGAUACCCUGGUAGUCCACGCUGUAAACGGUGGGUACUAGGUGUGGGGUCCGUUCCACGGGUUCCGUGCCGUAGCUAACGCUUUAAGUACCCCGCCUGGGGAGUACGGCCGCAAGGCUAAAACUCAAAGGAAUUGACGGGGCCCCGCACAAGCGGCGGAGCAUGCGGAUUAAUUCGAUGCAACGCGUAGAACCUUACCUGGGUUUGACAUGGAUCGGGAGUGCUCAGAGAUGGGUGUGCCUCUUUUGGGGUCGGUUCACAGGUGGUGCAUGCCUGUCGUCAGCUCGUGUCGUGAGAUGUUGGGUUAAGUCCCGCAACGAGCGCAACCCUUGUUCACUGUUGCCAGCACGUUAUGGUGGGGACUCAGUGGAGACCGCCGGGGUCAACUCGGAGGAAGGUGGGGAUGACGUCAAGUCAUCAUGCCCCUUAUGUCCAGGGCUUCACGCAUGCUACAAUGGCUGGUACAGAGAGUGGCGAGCCUGUGAGGGUGAGCGAAUCUCGGAAAGCCGGUCUCAGUUCGGAUUGGGGUCUGCAACUCGACCUCAUGAAGUCGGAGUCGCUAGUAAUCGCAGAUCAGCAACGCUGCGGUGAAAACGUUCCCGGG
rnacentral:rRNA from 1 species